rnacentral:rRNA from 1 species
CCAAGGCGACGAUCCCUAGCUGGUCUGAGAGGAUGAUCAGCCACACUGGGAUUGAGACACGGCCCAGACUCCUACGGGAGGCAGCAGUGGGGAAUAUUGCACAAUGGGCGCAAGCCUGAUGCAGCCAUGCCGCGUGUGUGAAGAAGGCCUUCGGGUUGUAAAGCACUUUCAGUCAGGAGGAAAGGUUAGUAGUUAAUACCUGCUAGCUGUGACGUUAUUGACAGAAGAAGCACCGGCUAACUCCGUGCCAGCAGCCGCGGUAAUACGGAGGGUGCGAGCGUUAAUCGGAAUUACUGGGCGUAAAGCGUACGCAGGCGGUUUGUUAAGCGAGAUGUGAAAGCCCCGGGCUCAACCUGGGAACUGCAUUUCGAACUGGCAAACUAGAGUGUGAUAGAGGGUGGUAGAAUUUCAGGUGUAGCGGUGAAAUGCGUAGAGAUCUGAAGGAAUACCGAUGGCGAAGGCAGCCACCUGGGUCAACACUGACGCUCAUGUACGAAAGCGUGGGGAGCAAACAGGAUUAGAUACCCUGGUAGUCCACGCCGUAAACGAUGUCUACUAGAAGCUCGGAGCCUCGGCUCUGUUUUUCAAAGCUAACGCAUUAAGUAGACCGCCUGGGGAGUACGGCCGCAAGGUUAAAACUCAAAUGAAUUGACGGGGGCCCGCACAAGCGGUGGAGCAUGUGGUUUAAUUCGAUGCAACGCGAAGAACCUUACCUACACUUGACAUACAGAGAACUUACCAGAGAUGGUUUGGUGCCUUCGGGAACUCUGAUACAGGUGCUGCAUGGCUGUCGUCAGCUCGUGUU